rnacentral:ribozyme from 14 species
AGAAAAGAUAAAGGCAAGCGUUGCAAUUGGUAAACCAAAUCUCAUUGUGUUUCUCUUUUUCUUUUGUUUUUCUUUUGUGGGAGAGUUUUUCUUUGUAUAUUUUUUUAAUGGUAAAACGUUGUUUCUACUGCGAGACUGUAGAGAAACCGAUCGAUCAAUAUAUCAAUGGAUGGUUGGUUC